UACGUAGGGGGCGAGCGUUGUCCGGAAUUAUUGGGCGUAAAGAGCGUGUAGGCGGUUCGGUAAGUCUGUCGUGAAAUCCUGGGGCUCAACCUCGGGCGUGCGAUGGAUACUGCCGGGCUAGAGGGUGGUAGAGGCGAGUGGAAUUCCCGGUGUAGCGGUGAAAUGCGCAGAUAUCAGGAGGAACACCGGUGGCGAAGGCGGUUCUCUGGGAAUAUCCUGACGCUGAGGAGCGAAAGCGUGGGGAGCGAACAGG
rnacentral:rRNA from 1 species